AUGAACGCUGGCGGCGUGCCUAAUCCCUGCAAGUCGAGCGAACGGACGAGAAGCUUGCUUUUCUGAUGUUAGCGGCGGACGGGUGAGUAACACGUGGAUAACCUACCUAUAAGACUGGGAUAACUUCGGGAAACCGGAGCUAAUACCGGAUAAUAUUUUGAACCGCAUGGUUCAAAAGUGAAAGACGGUCUUGCUGUCACUUAUAGAUGGAUCCGCGCUGCAUUAGCUAGUUGGUAAGGUAACGGCUUACCAAGGCAACGAUGCAUAGCCGACCUGAGAGGGUGAUCGGCCACACUGGAACUGAGACACGGUCCAGACUCCUACGGGAGGCAGCAGUAGGGAAUCUUCCGCAAUGGGCGAAAGCCUGACGGAGCAACGCCGCGUGAGUGAUGAAGGUCUUCGGAUCGUAAAACUCUGUUAUUAGGGAAGAACAUAUGUGUAAGUAACUGUGCACAUCUUGACGGUACCUAAUCAGAAAGCCACGGCUAACUACGUG
rnacentral:rRNA from 1 species